AUGCACGAGAGCUCUCUCCUCAACUAGCAUGGCUCCAUCCUCUAGGAGUAGUCAUCCUAUAAUCUCUAAAAAGAAAAAUAAAUAGAUUCAUGGUUUAAUUAUACAAUUAUGGCAAGCAAUAUAAUAAUUGAAAUGAUGCAAGGUAAGUAUGAAAAGCAAAUAAAACAUGCACACUACAAAGAUAAAAACUACUCCAUCUACCC
rnacentral:lncRNA from 1 species